UAAAUACUUUAGAAGCCGUGGAGCCAGGAAGUGUCUGUCGGCGGGAACUAAUCCUAGUCACACUGCUACACAAAUGUCCAGCGACUUCACAUCAGUCCUGCUGGUCUCUGCAAGCUUCCAGGAGAACCAUUUCUCUCAGUUCUUGUCCCUUAGGAUUCUCUCCAUGAAGGAAAAAUGUUUGGAAGAUCUGGGAGGAAAUGGAGUGACAGUUUUCUAAGUGUCUUCUGUCCAGAGACAAAGAGCUUUCUCUUAUACCACAUGGGACAGUUGACCUGAGAACAUGGAGCAGCUAUAGAAGAAGGAGAAACUACCCUGAGAACAACUGACCAGGAGAACUGCAGUCAACCAGUUAUAAUGCCUGGAGAAUCCCAGACUGAUGAGGGAGGUCCUUCCAGUCUGAACAGAGCACAUUAAGACUCCAUGGUCCCAGAGAGGUACAGUGGGAGGCUGCCCAGCCCCCUCCCUCAGCUCCACUCCCUUUUGAAGCCUAAUCAAUAAGAAUGUCACAGAGGUGCUUUCUGAUUC
rnacentral:lncRNA from 1 species